UACGUAGGUGGCAAGCGUUAUCCGGAUUUACUGGGUGUAAAGGGCGUGUAGGCGGGACUACAAGUCAGAUGUGAAAAUUAUGGGCUCAACCCAUAACCUGCAUUUGAAACUGUAGUUCUUGAGUGUCGGAGAGGUAAUCGGAAUUCCGUGUGUAGCGGUGAAAUGCGUAGAUAUACGGAGGAACACCAGUGGCGAAGGCGGAUUACUGGACGAUAACUGACGCUGAGGCGCGAAAGCGUGGGGAGCAAAC
rnacentral:rRNA from 1 species